GCGAGAGCCAAACUUCUGCUACGAACAGUCUACUCCGAACUCCUACAGCGGACUGUCUACCCCAGAUAUCUACUGUAAGCAAAUUUCUUCUGAACUUCUGUUGCAGGUAGACUCCAGCCGAGCUACUCCGUAGCGAGUGGGCUCUAGACGAACUUCUACAAUGGGACACUACUCCGAGCUUCCAUGACAACUGGUCCUCGUACGAGCUCCUACAAUAAACGGCCCCUUUUUGAUCUCUCGUG
rnacentral:lncRNA from 1 species